rnacentral:rRNA from 1 species
CCUACGGGAGGCAGCAGUGAGGAAUAUUGGUCAAUGGACGAGAGUCUGAACCAGCCACGCCGCGUGAAGGAUGACUGCCCUAUGGGUUGUAAACUUCUUUUAUAUGGGAAUAAAAUGUUCCACGUGUGGGAUUUUGUAUGUACCAUAUGAAUAAGGAUCGGCUAACUCCGUGCCAGCAGCCGCGGUAAUACGGAGGAUCCGAGCGUUAUCCGGAUUUAGUGGGUUUAAAGGGAGCGUAGGUGGAUCGUUAAGUCAGUUGUGAAAGUAUGUGGCUCAACCGUGGAAUUGCAGUUGAAACUGGCAGUCUUGAGUGCAGUAGAGGUGGGCGGAAUUCGAGGUGUAGCGGUGAAAUGCUUAGAUAUCACGAAGAACUCCGAUUGCGAAGGCAGCUCACUGGACUGCAACUGACGCUGAGGCGCGAAAGUGUGGGUAGCAAACAGGAUUAGAUACCCGGGUAGUC